AUUGAACGCUGGCGGCAUGCCUUACACAUGCAAGUCGAACGGCAGCACGGGGGCAACCCUGGUGGCGAGUGGCGAACGGGUGAGUAAUGCAUCGGAACGUGCCCAGUAGUGGGGGAUAACUAGUCGAAAGAUUAGCUAAUACCGCAUACGACCUAUGGGUGAAAGCGGGGGAUGCAGCACUUAAUGUUUUGGGAUGGCUACUUGUGGCCGCCUCGGGACAGUCCAGGUUGAGAACAUUAAGUGCUGCACCUCGCGCUAUCGGAGCGGCCGAUGUCUGAUUAGCUAGUUGGCGGGUAAAGCCCACAAGGCUUCGAUCAGUAGCUGGUCUGAGA
rnacentral:rRNA from 1 species